CUUCGAUUUCUCUCUCUCUCUCUGUUUCGUUCUCUCCUCUUCUGCUCUUUUUUUUUUUUUUUUUAAAGUCUGCGUAAUGUUCUUGUAUUUAUAAUUUAGAUGGAUAUUGAUGAAAUUAAAUUCGCUAGUUGUUUUGGUGUUGCUGAAGGGAUUUUUGAGCUUGGGCAUGGUUUGUACUAGCAGUAUUAAUUAACAAAUAAGUAUGUCAAGUAAAUAUAGAAGGAAAAACAUAUAUAAUAUGUUCAAAAUUGUAAAAAGAAGAAAGGAGUUCGGUCCUGUCCGGUUCUUCUCACUGCCAUUCAAACGGUUCUCCCGGAUUUGAAAAUCCCGUGGUUCGAUUGUUCCGCUCUUGAAAGAUCUCCAUGUCCGCGUGAUUCGAAUGCCUUGGACUGGUAGCUGUGAGCGAGGCGGACUGAGAAGAACGAGCUCCAUUUAUUAUGCCGGCGUUUCUGUUCCUAGGUGAUGAUGAGGUACUGGAAACAGUUUACUGGAUUUCUAAAUUCUAUUGAGCUGUGAAAUUGAAUUCCGUCAUCGCUCUCUUUGCAAUACCCAAUAGGCUGUACUCAAUUUCAAAUGAUUAGGUGUCAAAAGUGGAAAAUGAAUGGAAAAUAUAGAGAAUUAAUGCAUAUUUUCGUUAUUAUAUUCUAAAACACAUUUUUGACAAUUUUCUUACAAUCUUCAUGCAUUCAACUCAACUCAAUUCAACUAAGACUUGAUUUCAAUUGAUUUGAGGUCGACGAGAGCAUAAACACACGCUCUCUUUCUCUUUCUCAAGAAAAAGAGAUAUUAAGUAAUAUCAAUAUGAUUAGAUUUUACAUUAACGGUGAUAUCACUGAUAUGGAUGUUUAAUAACGUGAAUUCAUUAUUUCUAAACUUAGACAUAGCAUUCUUUAAGGUAUAGAAUUUCAUUAUGAUCUGAUUUUGAGUUCGAUAUGUUAGAGAGGGAGACGUUGAAAGAUGUAUCCAUUUGAGUUUUGGGAGAAUCUAUACAAACUAGAACAGGGAAAAGAAGAAGAAGAAGAAGAAGAAGAAGAGUGAGAGUAUGUGUAAUGCUGAAGGGUGUUUCUGUGUAACACCCCCUUCCUAUAAGAAGACGAUAUUACACAUCUUUUUAACCAGAAACGCAAGGAUACAAGAAUUCCAUAAACUAAAAAUCAAAGCAAAAUGUCUCAUUAAAAUUAAAACUUAAACCAUUGUAUCACUGCUCUACAACUCAUUCCAUUAAAACUUAAAAGUUAAACCUUAGUCUAUACAUAAGAAAGCAUACUGAAACUUGAAAGAACUAAUGUGAUACAUGCACUUAUUUAAUUUGCUUCUAGAUGAAGGCUUCCGACUCUAGUUUUCUUGGCCUGUAGAAUCAUUCGUGACAUCAUUUGGGUUGCUUUAAAACAUAAUAGCAAAGGGUGGGUCGAAUAUUCAGUAAGUAGAUACAUCAUACAGUAAAUGAAAUUGGAAGCAAUUUUCAUUUUGAAAACAUCAAAAGGUAUAAGUAAGACAUUCACACAUAUCAUAAACAUUUUUCUUCCUUUAAUGUCUUGAAUGACCGACACACAAUUACGCCCUGUGUGUAAGGGUUGGUGAUCACAAGGAUCUUGGCUUCGCUCCCAUGGCCACAAGUGGAGUCGUGUCUAGGACAUGGACAUAACUCAAUGCCCGAAAGCAACAAGCAACAAGCAACGAAUUGAGCUGCCAAUGCUAGAAAGCCGUUGCGUGUUAGAACAAGCAAGGGUUGAGCUAAACGAUGGUGCAUUUGAACAUGUUAUCUGUGAUUGCUGCCAAGGACUAUUGUUAAGAACAAGCAACUUAUAUAAUGCAUGUUUGCUGGUUCUAAAUUGAAUCUUCAGUCUCCCAAAAUUAUGCCCUCUCACCAACUUUUACAUCUGAUGGAGCAUGGUUAGCUUCAUUGUCCAUCAAAGGUUUGUGGUACAUUGAGAGUUCACACAGAAAAUUUACUGCAAUGUAGUGUCCUUUACAUGUGGUUGAAAGUUUUUGUAUAUUUACAGUAUUUAUUCAGGAUCUACGUACUACAUUAUUAUCAUUGUAUGAUAUCUUUUGUGAUAUAGCUUCGAUCAUCCACUUUUUUGUUAGUGGUGCUCUAUGUUCUUGUUUUAUUUUGCAGAUAUCGACAACUACCCAAUAGGCUGUACUCAAUUUCAAAUGAUUAGGUGUCAAAAGUGGAAAAUGAAUGGAAAAUAUAGAGAAUUAAUGCAUAUUUUCGUUAUUAUAUUCUAAAACACAUUUUUGACAAUUUUCUUACAAUCUUCAUGCAUUCAACUCAACUCAAUUCAACUAAGACUUGAUUUCAAUUGAUUUGAGGUCGAAUUUGUAUUCUUGUCAACCAAUCGCGGUCAUGCGCAUGUAUUCAUUUAUGUCAUUAUAUUUUAUCUAAAAUUAUACUCUUUGCAGUUUCCCUAUUUGACACAUCAUUUUUUACUAUUGCUAUUAGAAGCUUUCAUUUACCUCUUUUUACUCCAUUAUUUCUAUUCUCAUAUGUUAUAACUUCUCCAACACCCUCCCAUCCCACAUAAUCAAAACACCAUCUAACUCCCCUUUGGAGUCCAGACAACACAAAUCUACAUGAUGGCACCCCCACAAACUACGCACAACACUAUGAGACAUGACCUCCAGUUUAGUUUCUUGAAAACAAACAACAUCAACUUUCCACUCUCUGAGUAGGUUCCUCACCCUUAGGCAUUUAUCCCCCUCACUCAACUCUCUCACGUUCUAAGAUAGAAGUUUAGGCUUCAUUAAAAACUGAAAUACCCCUCCUUUUCUUUACCACGACUUGCACCCUCACUUUUAGAGGCGUAAUUAAUGGAGCAUUCCAAUCUCUUUAACUCCCUAUUACUUUUGUUGCCCAUUUUAGAGAUGGAACCUGAACCCUUAGGAAGAUGACUUGCUUCAAUAACUGUCAAAAUAGCCAUAAACUGUUCCUCAAAACCCACACACGAAACCCCCAAUACUUGAUGGAUCUCCUUCACUCUUUGCAAGACCUAAUCUGAAUACUCCGACCUUGAGCGACCAGAUUUUCCCAUCACGGCGGGGGAGAUAGGAGCUAAGGGGUGAUGAAGAGGACAUGCAUGAAGGCUUUAUCUGGUUUUAUGCAAACAUAGAUAGAGAUGCUUAUAAUACAGUGUUACGAAUCUGUUAUGACUUAAAUGUAGUUCGUCAUCAUCUGAUUUUAAGUUGAAUAUGAUUUGCUCUCUGAAAAUAAUUGAAUGUCUUAAUUAAUGGAAAGCUGAGACAAAAGAGAGAGACAUGGUAAACCAUGUGAAAAAAAGAAUAUGUGUGUUAUCUAGACACUUGUAAAGAAUUCUGGUAGGAUUCAAACUUGGCCCAAUGCAUCCUGAGACAUCAGUGCAGUACGGAGCUUCCUCCCUAUUGAGAAAAACCACUUUUCGGCAAGGUGCCAAAUCGAGCACAUGCUGGCUUAUUUCUCCAACACAACCCACCUCCAUUACAACCAAAGUAGGCAGACAAGUUCUGAAUCCCCUGUGGAUCAUCUCCUUCUCCAAUGUGAGGCUGCUAGCGCUUUAUGGACUACCAUCUUUAGCUGUUUUGGGUUAUCUUGGGUUAUGCCUCUUCGUGUGAUAGACUUGUUUGUCAAGAGUAUUGAUAGCAGAAAGAGCAAACCCUCUUUUGGAGGGGACUCACCACAGCUUGUCUCCCUAUUGAGAAAAACCACUUUUCGGCAAGGUGCCAAAUCGAGCACAUGAGUCGGAGAACCCUCCUCUUUUUCACUAAUAAGGCUGACUCCCCACCCUAAGCCAGUUGAAGAGGAGCCAAUAGCACUAGGCGAAAAGAGCUUAGGAAAUGGUUCUUUGAAAGUUAAAAACUCAAGAGUAUUGAUAGCAGAAAGAGCAAACCCUCUUUUGGAGGGGACUCACCACAGCUUGUCUUCCUAAGAGAGCAUGAUUGAACAUCAACAUACUCACGUUGAGUCACAUGGUGCAAGCACGUCGUGUAAAGACUCAAUUUUUUUUUCCCCCUGAAUCAUGUAUAAUUUGCAUAGGAAAUUUCCUUUUAGGCUGGAUUACAAGUAGUAAACAUACAUGUGACUGAUUCAAAGUCAUCUUGGCAAUUGUAGCAUUUAUCUUUUCCUAAUGAGGUGUCAGGACUCUUGUACCUCACUAA
rnacentral:lncRNA from 1 species